UGUAGGCGAAGGACAUGCGAAAGGUCCGGCGUAGAGGGUAAGACCCCCGUAGCUGAAACAUCAGCGGCUUGUUUGAGAGACACCCAAGUAGCACGGGGCCCGAGAAAUCCCGUGUGAAUCUGGCGGGACCACCCGCUAAGCCUAAAUAUUCCCUGGUGACCGAUAGCGGAUAGUACCGUGAGGGAAUGGUGAAAAGUACCGCGGGAGCGGAGUGAAAUAGUACCUGAAACCGUGUGCCUACAAGCCGUGGGAGCGUCGCUGUGUGUGCUUGCACAUGCAGUCGUGACUGCGUGCCUUUUGAAGAAUGAGCCUGCGAGUUUGCGGUGUGUUGCGAGGUUAACCCGUGUGGGGAAGCCGUAGCGAAAGCGAGUCCGAAUAGGGCGUUGAGUAGCGCGCUCAAGACCCGAAGCGGAGUGAUCUAGCCAUGGGCAGGUUGAAGCGGAGGUAAGACUUCGUGGAGGACCGAACCCACCAGGGUUGAAAACCUGGGGGAUGACCUGUGGUUAGGGGUGAAAGGCCAAUCAAACUCCGUGAUAGCUGGUUCUCCCCGAAAUGCAUUUAGGUGCAGCGUCGUGUGUUUCUUGCCGGAGGUAGAGCACUGGAUAGGCGAUGGGCCCUACCGGGUUACUGACCUUAGCCAAACUCCGAAUGCCGGUAAGUGAGAGCGCGGCAGUGAGACUGUGGGGGAUAAGCUCCAUGGUCGAGAGGGAAACAGCCCAGAGCAUCGACUAAGGCCCCUAAGCGUACGCUAAGUGGGAAAGGAUGUGGAGUCGCAGAGACAACCAGGAGGUUGGCUUAGAAGCAGCCAUCCUUGAAAGAGUGCGUAAUAGCUCACUGGUCAAGUGAUUCCGCGCCGACAAUGUAGCGGGGCUCAAGCGUACCGCCGAAGUCGUGUCAAUCAGACAUGAGGGCUAACGCCCGUCUGGUUGGGUAGGGGAGCGUCGUGUGCCGGGUGAAGCAGCCGUGUAAGCGAGUUGUGGAUGGUUCACGAGUGAGAAUGCAGGCAUGAGUAGCGAUUCACACGUGGGAAACGUGUGCGCCGAUUGACUAAGGGUUCCUGGGUCAAGCUGAUCUGCCCAGGGUAAGUCGGGACCUAAGGCGAGGCCGACAGGCGUAGUCGAUGGACAACCGGUUGAUAUUCCGGUACCCGCUUUGAAGCGCCCAAUAUCGAAUCCUCUGAUGCUAAGGCCGUGAAGCCGCCCUGAGCUCUUCGGAGCGUAGGGGAGUGGUGGAGCCGCUGACCCUAGGUGGUAGUAGGUAAGUGAUGGGGUGACGCAGGAAGGUAGUCCAGCCCGGGCGGUGGUUGUCCCGGGGUAAGGG
rnacentral:ncRNA from 1 species